UUGUUGUCAUAGAAAAAGAAUUAGAUAGAUAGUCACAUUCUAGAAAGAGCAAAGUCAUAAAUACUUCUGUGCUCAAGCUCUCUCAUUAUUCUUGUCUUAGGAGAUGGAUGUCAAGUCAAUCUUUCACAAAUCUCAUUUCAGGUGCCAAGUUUCUUUCAAAGACUCCAAAGGAAAAGAUUUACUUGCAGAUGCUCGGAGAAUACCGUCUCAAGCCCAGGGCGAUGCAUUAUCUAUAGAAGAGCAGCAUAAAGCCAUGAUGUUGAGUUGCUUCCAGUUAAAAGAAAGGAAAAAGAAAAGAAAAGAAAUGAAAAGAAGAGAAGAGAAGAGAAGAGAGAGAAGAGAAGAGAAAAGAAAAAAGAAAAGAAAGAAAAGAAAAGAAAAGAAAAGAAAAGAAAAGAAAAGAAAAGAAAAGAAAAGAAAAGAAAAGAAAAAAGCAGGUGAUUUUGCAUACAAAUCAGAUUUCCAGCCUCUAAAGAACAAUUGUGAAAUUUCCCAGUUCUGGUCCAUGGGCUCCCAUGGUGAUGCCAUGUGCAGAGGUAGCCUUUCUGAGACUGGGCAUGUUCUCUCCACUGCUCUGCCUCCUGGACUGACGUUGACCAUAUGACAUAUCCAAUUACUGACUUGUGCUAUUGUUUUUCUUAUAGUUAGGAGAAAAGUGAAGUAUUUCUCGUCGACAUGUCUCUGUCCAAAGGGAAAAUAUGAAAAAUAGACCAAGACAGCUGUACAGAAAGGAUGCAUGAUGCAGUUUUAUGAAUGAGAAAAGAAAUCCCAAUAGAAUUGUUUUUGAAUCUAAUAGAAUGAAUGAUGCUACAGUGAGAUGUUCAAAACACA
rnacentral:lncRNA from 1 species